GACGAACGCUGGCGGCGUGCCUAAUACAUGCAAGUAGAACGCUGAAGGAGGAGCUUGCUUCUCUGGAUGAGUUGCGAACGGGUGAGUAACGCGUAGGUAACCUGCCUGGUAGCGGGGGAUAACUCUUGGAAACGAUAGCUAAUACCGCAUAAGAGUAGAUGUUGCAUGACAUUUUCUUAAAAGGUGCAAUUGCAUCACUACCAGAUGGACCUGCGUUGUAUUAGCUAGUUGUUGGGGUAACGGCGCACCAAGGCGACGAUACAUAGCCGACCGGAGAGGAUGAUCGGCCACACUGGGACUGAGACACGGCCCAGACUCCUACGGGAGGCAGCAGUAGGGAAUCUGCGGGAAUGGACGGAAGUCUGACCGAGCAACGCCGCGUGAGUGAAGAAGGUUUUCGGGUCGUAAAGCACGGUUGUAAGGGAAGAACGAGUGUGAGAGUGGAAAGAUCACACUGUGACGGUAUCUUACCAGAAAGGGACGGCUAACUACGUG
rnacentral:rRNA from 1 species